rnacentral:rRNA from 1 species
CCUCCUUAGAGUUUGAUCCUGGCUCAGGAUGAACGCUGGCGGCGUGCUUAACACAUGCAAGUCGAACGAUGAAGCCCAGCUUGCUGGGUGGAUUAGUGGCGAACGGGUGAGUAACACGUGAGUAACCUGCCCUUAACUCUGGGAUAAGCCUGGGAAACUGGGUCUAAUACCGGAUAGGAGCGUCCACCGCAUGGUGGGUGUUGGAAAGAUUUAUCGGUUUUGGAUGGACUCGCGGCCUAUCAGCUUGUUGGUGAGGUAAUGGCUCACCAAGGCGACGACGGGUAGCCGGCCUGAGAGGGUGACCGGCCACACUGGGACUGAGACACGGCCCAGACUCCUACGGGAGGCAGCAGUGGGGAAUAUUGCACAAUGGGCGCAAGCCUGAUGCAGCGACGCCGCGUGAGGGAUGACGGCCUUCGGGUUGUAAACCUCUUUCAGUAGGGAAGAAGC